UCGCCGUCGCCGUAACAACCGCUCGAGCCCUCGCCGCGCCCCUCGCAGCUCCCGCCCAGCCCCCUCCCCGGAACCGGCGGUCGAGCGGCAGCCGCCGAGCAGUGGAACUGCGAAGGCACCGCGGAGCCGCCGGCAUGAGCUCCUCCCGCCGCCCCGCGCCCCGGGCUCGGCCUUUCUGACAAGAGGUAGGUGCGCGUCCCCGCGGCGGGCUCCGAGCGCGCCCCCGGGCGGCCCCGGGACGCUCCGGCCGCCUCCCGCCCGCCCGCUCCGAGCCCGCGCCGGAGCGCAGCCUGGCCCCCUCCCCGAGCCCGUCCUGCGGGAGCCGAGCUGCGGCCGCGCUCCUGCCGGCCCCGGAGUCCGCGGCGCUGGCCCGGCCCGGCCCGGCCACGCCGAUUGUCAUGCAAUAGAGGCAGCCGGGUCCCGGACCCCGCGCCGCGCAUCCGAGCUGGCGCCCGGCGGGUUCAGGGAAGCGGCGAGUUGGCGGGUCCUCGGCUGGAGUCACUCCCGGCUCCGACAGGCCGGGUCCCAGCGGACGGGCCGACGGUUUCCUCAGCGAGCACCACCGUGUCUUGCAUCCUCUCCCUCCCCCGACCUCCCCCGGCAGUCGUCCUCCUCUGUCUGGGAGAUACCGUAAAAUUAAUUUUCCCAAUUAAAAAUUUAAAAGCUUAUUAGAGCCCCACCGUGCACCGGCACUGAACGGUGUGCAAAGUGAAUAGAACGUGGUCCCAGCGCCCGGGACGCGUCAGCUCCAGGAUCCAGAUGAACGCAGACUCGGAGUCGAGUUUGCAGAACUCAGAGUUUGGCUCCGGUUAUCAUGAUUUUAGAGCUGUGAGUGUUUCAAGAUCAUCUUUCCCAAACCUGGUUUUAUAGAGAUGGAAUUAGGGAGGGCAAAUGGCUUGCUGGAGGUCACCCAGAAUUAUUCCCUCGCAGUUUUCCGACUGUCAGAUGGCUUGUUUUCCAGCAUAACCUGCUCCUCUGAGAGAUAUGCCAAAUAAGCAUACCAGAGGAAGUUCCAGGCCUGUUUAAAGUAAUGUAAACAUGGUAGAAAUGCGGUAAUAUAGAGAGCAGUUUUCUGAAAUAAAAUCCUCAUAAUGUCUUUUUUUACAGCUAGACUUUGGGAUCCUUGAGGCUAUUCAGCUAUGCACUUUUGAAUAUCCUCUCACCAUAUUCAACAUAACAUUCUUAAUGAUUAUCCUCAGCAGGACAGGUAGGCUUAUUUGAUUUAUUUUUUCCUCCUCACUUUUCUCUUCCCACUUUUAGUUAGGUGAGUAGAGUCCCAGGUGUGUUUUCAGAAACCUCCAGUGAGGCUGGCACCAGAAUGAUUUUGUGCUGGAGGGGGGGGUUCCUUGGUGUGUGGGUGAAGCUUGAGCAGGGCUCGAAGCCUCAGAGCCAUCACAGCUCUUCCAGGCUGGAGUGUUCAGGGAGCCCCUAGAACCGCAGUGCUCAGCCUCCCUGUCGCUUGAAGACUGAUCUCUGAAAUUGUAGUAUACACAGAAGACAGGACAUGAUGAAAGUGCUGUUUGGGAACCAGCAUUUUGAGGGGUACUCCAUGAUUUGAGAUACAUAGUAUUUUUCCCCUGCUUUUUUGUGUUUUCCCCAGAGUUGAGUAAGACGUUAACCAUUUUUUUAAAAAAGUUUUCCUAGUUAUACAUGGACACAUUAUCUUUAUUUUGCUUAUUUGGUUUUACAUGGUGCUGAAGAUCGAACCCAGUGCCUCACAUGUGCAAGGCAAGCGCUCUGCCACUGAGCCCCAGCCCGAUGAUGACCAUUUUUAUUUGGCUUUCAGUUGAAGUUGUUCAAAAGAAAAUAAUUGGACUAAUUGAAUCCUAGCAUUUUCUUCCUAGGAAGGACUAGAUCAUGGAACCCAGGGCAGGGCCCAGCUACACAGAUGAGGGCAGUGGAGGCCUCCACCCUCAGACCAGUGUGGUUCCCUUGUUCCCUUGGGCGUACUUUGCCUUUUUUAUUGUCUCACUACCUCCCCUGCCAUUGUGUAUUUCAGUAUCUUUCGAUUUAUGUGUGCAUAGAAGUAUGACUUAUUGUGGUCCCUUUUUAGCCUUAGAAUGUGGGAUGAUGUGUUGAUGCAGACUUAUUUUUUCUGUAUAGUGGUGGUUUAUCACAUAUGGGUAUGUUUUGCAGGUGUGAGAGGAUUGCUAUUGUACUACAAUCAUGGUGCAAAAAUACCAGUCACCAGUGAGGGUGUAUAAACACCCCUUUGAAUUAAUUAUGGCUGUAAGUACUGUACAUUUCCAUUUACUCUUUGGCUUCUUAUUUUUUAAGUCUUAGAAUCUGAUGCUCUGUAAAACUUAACGUGCAUUGUUUGUCCCCAUUGCUUCACUUAGUCUGUUUACAUGCUCAUGAACUGUAUUGUGUGUAAGAUGUUUUUAAAACAUAAGCCUCUGAAAUUCUGCAUAUUUGUUUUAUUUUAUUUUAUUUUAUUUUAUUAUUUUUUUUUUUAAUAUUUAUUUUUAGUUUUCGGUGGACACAACAUCUUUGUUUGUAUGUGGUGCUGAGGAUCGAACCCGGGCCACACGCAUGCCAGGCGAGCGCGCUACCACUUGAGCCACAUCCCCAGCCCCUGCAUAUUUGUUUUAUAAAAACACCCCUCAGGAUCAUGUGUGAAUUCGCGUUAAUUCCCCCUUUAAAAAUGCAGAAGUGGGAUUCUGACUAAACACUUCCUAUGAAUUUUGUUCUGUUUUUCCUUUUUGGUUAAAGUAGCAGAGGGACGUGGCGUGUGGGUUCUUACCUGUGGGAGCGAGCUCUGGUUGUGGGUGACUGCAGGUAGUCUCCGAGGAGCACUGGAAGGGGGCCUGCCUCGGCUCUCUGCUGCCUGGGCUUCCCACCUGACAGCAAAUCUGUGAGUCAGAUUCCACAAAUGAGAUAACUGAAGUCUCAUUUCUUGUUGUUAUUUGCCUGAAAAUUUGGCUAAAAAUAAACAUUUGAUUGGACAGAAAAACUGUUCCAGGUACUUUUACGUUAUGUGUAGUAAUGCUCCUUGCCUUCUCUUUUGUGUUAUUAUAAGGGUAUGAUAUACCUUCAGGAACACGUGAUAGCUCCAGGAAAAGGCUCUCACUGUCACGCACAUGCAUCCCUAAGGAAGUGUCACACUGAACACACCAGGGUUCUGAAACCAGGGUCAGUGAGCCAAGUUGCACUUGGCUCCUUUGGGUCCCCCCCACCUUCUCAAAGUGCUCCAGUACCCUGACUUCUAACACUGAAGGUGACUGGGCUGGGGAUUUGCUCCAGUGACAUGGCUCCUGCCUGUUAUUCGCAAGGUCCUGAGUUCUAUUGCCAGUUAGCACCCCCACCCUCAAAGUAGAGAGAAAAGUUCCAAUCUAAGGGAUUAAGGGGAAGUUUUGUGGGUGUUUUACUGAGGUAUAACUUACAUAUAGCAGAUGGCUACAUGUUAGCCACAUAGUUUGAUCAGUUUUUUUUUUUUUUUUAAUUUUUUUGGGUUGUAGAUGGACACAAUACCUUGAUUUUGUUUGUUUAUUUUUAUGUGGUGCUGAGGAUCAAACCUGGUGCCUCACACGUGCCAGGCAAGCGCUCUACCUCUGAGCCACAACCGAGCCCCAGUUUGCUCGGUUUUUUUUUUUUAGAUUGAAAGCAUGCCUUUGUUUUAUUUGUUUAUUUUUAUGUGGUGCUGAGAAUCAAAUCCAGUGCCUCACACAUGCUAGGCAAAUGCUCUGCCACUGGGCUACAGCCUCCGUCCUGGUCAGUUUUAAGAUGGGCUGGGGAUAUAGCUCAGUUGGUAGGGUGCUUGCCUCGCAGGCACAAGGCCCUGGGUUCAAUCCCCCGCACCACCACAAAAAAGAAAAAAAGGAAGAAGACGAGUCACCCCCACCUCUGUCAAGACAGAGUAUUUGCAUCUGCUACCCCAACAAGUUCCUUGUGCUCCCUCUGUCAGGUGUGAGACUUCUGUGUGUAUGGCUGUUUCUGAAAAACAGUUCUGUAUUUCCCUUAAAUAUAUCUGAGUGGCGCUGCCUAGUAUCUGAUGAAUGACAGGACGUGUCUGAGAGGCUUUGCUGUCCGUCCGCGUCUCUCUUGCUGGUCUGGCUUUGGCUGUGUGGAGCAGAGGCCGCUCCAGCCAGCCUGAAAGGGAGUUCUGUUAGCAGCCACACUUGUGGGCUGUAGGAAUCUCACAGACAUUGAGGGUUUCCAGCUGGGACAGGCUGGAGCCUGGUGGUGGAGGGGGCUCUUGGCAGCUCUAGGGCCUAGGAGCAGUUGUCCCUGGAACUUCACCCCAUGGGACCCCACCUUGCUCUAUCUGCCAGAACUUUUUUGUCUCCCCACCAACUGGCUUCUUGCUCACUCUUUGCCCUUCCCUGUGGCUUCAGCUCAAGUGCUUUUCCAGUUGGCCAAAACCCUCUGGCUCCAGUUCCACUUUGUGGCAUUUCUUGUUGAGUUCUUUUAGUUUCUAAGUGACCAGUUCUUGUCACAUUUCCUAGUUCACGUUUUUGAAAGAAACUUUGAUCUGGUCCACUUCUCUCCCUGCCCCCCCUCCCCCACCUGAACUACAAGCGAUUGGCCAGCUCGCCUAGUGUCAGCCUUGGGUGGGAUGCCUGACCCUGGCCAGUUCCUGAGCUGGUGGGGUGGGGGGAGGAGGUGUGGGGAUAGUAGGGACCGAAAGGCCAUGAGGAAUGAAGCCGCAUGUCUGCCCCACCAGGGAGGGGCUGUGGACAGGGCGUGUUGUUUUUUGGAGCCCGAAGUGUGAUUUAAAAAGCGGUCUGCUGAUCUCUUCUCCAAACACUAGAUUUAAUAAAGAGACUUUUUGUCUAAUUUUCAAACUUCCUUAUUUCCCUUACUUUACUAUUUUCAAAAUUGAGAAGUUUGCUU
rnacentral:lncRNA from 1 species